rnacentral:lncRNA from 1 species
GUGCGACACUCCCAUAUUAUUAAAAACAUUAUAUUUAAAGCAUAUGAAACGGAAUCAAAUGAUCCAAUCAGUUUCUGUUCCAUAUGUAUUAUGUAUGAUGUAAAAAAUACUGUGGCAUAUUUUGCUAUUAUCAUUAUGAAGAGACUUAGAAUGAUAAACCAUAAAACAGUAUUAUGUAAACAACCUUUCAUGGGUCUUGAAUGCCUAUAAACAAGCAGACAGAAAAUGAGGUAGUUCUAAAAUACUGAACAGCAUACCAAAAAGGCCUCAACUAAAAAGUGUAAUCAUCUAAUUUACUAAUGUUCCCAUAAUUACAUGACAUGUAAAGAGAUAAGCACAUUGUUUCUUUAGCAAUAUGCACAAACAACCCUAAACUCACAAGUCUGAAGAAGCUGUGAUGUGCUCAGAGCCCUGCAUGUGCAAGUCUAUUCUCACGAGUGAUGGAUCUCCAUAACACAACUGAAUUUCUAAAUCAUGUGAGGCCAAACAUUUCCAUAAUGCAAAACGCAUUCGUCAUAAAUCAGAUGCGAAUGAAUGGAGAGAUUGAGCGGCGUUAAACGGAGCACCACAGGCCUCCACUAUAGCACGGCAUCGAAAUCCCCAGCAAAACGCUUGUACCUACAUCAUGUACUCGCGCAAAUGAAUCAAAUUCGCACAAACAAAACAACAAACGCUACGUGUGACAGGCCCGAUGACGUCACGGGCAUCAGUCACAAGCGUCCAUCAGGAAAGAGUGUGUGUGUGUGUGUGUGUGAGUGUGUGUGUGUUUGCAGCAGUGACAGAACCUCAGCUUUUCAGACCAAGCGACCAACCUACCCAGCAGCAGUAGUCGAUGAGUUGCUCUGUAGAUCUGUUUGUCUUUCUGGAGCUGCUUCUCUAUCUUUUUGUUAGCUUCUCGCUGGGCCUUCUCCUCAUUUCGCUGGUCCUCAGUCUUACUGUUGCCCAAACAACCCAUUUUCCCAAAAACCCAAGAAAAGUUUUGGGGUGGGGUGAGGGGAAGGUGAAUCUACCGAAUGAAUAAAUGAUCCAAAUCCCUCGAUUGGCCUCCGAUCAGAACACUGUGAUGGAAAACCGGGACAUUUAUACGUGUAUGCACACAACUACCCUGGAUUUCGCCGAUGUGGGCAGGGGAGCACGGGGAAAUAGGAAAAAGCUCUGGGUGACUAGUACUGGCGAGAAUAGGUGGUGGUGGUGAUGAUGGUGAUGAUGAUGAUGGUGGUUAUCCAGGUCAGGUGGAGAGAAAGGCUCGCUAUCCCUUACAGCAUUACCGCUCAGGCUUUCCAAAGGUGUCGUUUAGCCGCAUCGGCUUUUCCCCCUCAGGUUCUGGUAUUGACAGGAGUGAACUUUGACCUGACACACAUAGCGCACUUUUCACUGUUUGUUAUUCUUGCUCUACUAUUUCUGGACGCCGCUCCAAGUCCCUCCUCGUCCGCUUCUCGCUCGCUCCCGCCGCUGACCGGAGAUCAGUUUUCUGCUGUAACUUUUUUUGCAC